UACGAAGGGGGCUAGCGUUGCUCGGAAUUACUGGGCGUAAAGCGCACGUAGGCGGUCUUUUAAGUCGGGGGUGAAAUCCUGGAGCUCAACUCCAGAACUGCCUUCGAUACUGGAAGACUCGAGUCCGGGAGAGGUGAGUGGAACUGCGAGUGUAGAGGUGAAAUUCGUAGAUAUUCGCAAGAACACCAGUGGCGGAAGGCGGCUCACUGGCCCGUAACUGACGCUCAUGCACGACAGCGUGGGGAUCAAACAGG
rnacentral:rRNA from 1 species